rnacentral:tRNA from 1 species
GCCAAGAUGGCCAAGUGGUCUAUAGUCUCCUGGAGGCGUGGGUUCGAAUCCCACUUCUGACA